GACGAACGCUGGCGGCGUGCCUAAUACAUGCAAGUUGAGCGCUGAAGGUUGGUACUUGUACCAACUGGAUGAGCAGCGAACGGGUGAGUAACGCGUGGGGAAUCUGCCUUUGAGCGGGGGACAACAUUUGGAAACGAAUGCUAAUACCGCAUAAAAACUUUAAACACAAGUUUUAAGUUUGAAAGAUGCAAUUGCAUCACUCAAAGAUGAUCCCGCGUUGUAUUAGCUAGUUGGUGAGGUAAAGGCUCACCAAGGCGAUGAUACAUAGCCGACCUGAGAGGGUGAUCGGCCACAGUGGGACGGAGACACGGCCCAAACUCCUACGGGAGGCAGCAGUAGGGAAUCUUCGGCAAUGGACGAAAGUCUGACCGAGCAACGCCGCGUGAGUGAAGAAGGUUUUCGGAUCGUAAAACUCUGUUGGUAGAGAAGAACGUUGGUGAGAGUGGAAAGCUCAUCAAGUGACGGUAACUACCCAGAAAGGGACGGCUAACUACGUG
rnacentral:rRNA from 1 species